rnacentral:rRNA from 1 species
GAUGAACGCUGGCGGCGUGCUUAACACAUGCAAGUCGAACGGUGAAGGCGGAGCUUGCUCUGCUGGAUCAGUGGCGAACGGGUGAGUAACACGUGAGCAAUCUGCCCCUGACUCUGGGAUAAGCGCUGGAAACGGCGUCUAAUACUGGAUACGAGCUGCGAAGGCAUCUUCAGCAGCUGGAAAGAACUUCGGUCAGGGAUGAGCUCGCGGCCUAUCAGCUUGUUGGUGAGGUAACGGCUCACCAAGGCGUCGACGGGUAGCCGGCCUGAGAGGGUGACCGGCCACACUGGGACUGAGACACGGCCCAGACUCCUACGGGAGGCAGCAGUGGGGAAUAUUGCAAAAUGGGCGAAAGCCUGAUGCAGCAACGCCGCGUGAGGGACGACGGCCUUCGGGUUGUAAACCUCUUUUAGCAGGGAAGAAGCGAAAGUGACGGUACCUGCAGAAAAAGCGCCGGCUAACUACGUG